AUUACAGCCAUCUCUCUAUCAGCUCAGGCGGGACAGAAGCAAACCCAAACCGCCGCCGAUGUUUGUACACAUUGUCCACUUUGAAACCAGUCUAUUUCUCAUUGUCCAUGUCAACUUUCAUUGUGCACUGCUUCUGUUUUUACACAGAGUAUUCGUGCGGUCACCCAUCUGCAUUGCAGCUUGUUUAAUGAGUUUUUCCGCGUCCUUGGCACUUGUAAAGCUCCGGGUCCUCCCCUUCCAGGUGAAUCGCAGAGUUGCCGGAUGGGCCAGCGUGUAUCUCCCAUUGAGCUGCUGUCGUGUUUUCUUCGCGGCCGUAAAGGUCUUCCUCUUCUCGGCCAGUUCCCUCGACAUGUCUGGAAACACGAAGAUUCUCCGUCCUUCCCAUUCAAGCCCUGUUUUACUCUGACAGCUUUCAAAACUUUAUCCCUCGCUGCAGAGUCGGCGCCAGAGCAGAUCUACUGGAGGGGCAUUGGGUCAUUACGUCAAUUAUAGUCGAUUGUGACAGAUCGAGAAUAUGCUUCACAGCUGGUAGGAGGGGCAUCAAUGACCGCUAGGGGGGGCACGGCCCUCGAAUGCCCCCCCUUAGCGCCGGCACUGCCUCGCUGACUGCCGUAAAAAUCUGAUCAGCACCGGUCUGGGCGGCUGGUCCUCAUUGGGGAUGGGAGCUAAUGCUCGGUGUGCCCUUUCUAUUUCAAAUUCACCUUCGACAUCAACUCCGAGCGUUUUCUUCACGCAUGCCUCCAUUGUGCCGUUCGUUCCGUAGGUUUCUUUCAGCCCCAAUAACCUCACGUUGUUUCUCUUGCUGUGGUUUUCAAGCAUUUGGAUGCGAUCCCACAACACUUCCGUCCUCUUUUCAGCGUGUUCUCCGUCGCUCACAAGCCGGUCAGUCGUGUCCUCCAGGUGGGAGAUCCGCCCCUCCGCCUCCCCCAGCCUUUCUUGAAUGUUGUUCGCCGUGUUUUUGAGCUCAUUUGUUGUUUCUUUAAUGGUUAGUAUGUCUGCUGCCACUCCCUGCAACGUGGUGCUCAUCUUGGAGAUUUCGGCAAACAUAUUCUCCAUGUUUGCAGUUUUUUCGGCAGGUUGCUUUCCUCGCUGCACUGGCGGCGGCGAGUUAGAAGUGAUGCUUCCUUCAGUCGGCGGGGGAGGAUUUUUCCUGGUCGCCAUUGGGAUCCGAAGAAGAAAAAACAACACUCUGUCUUACUUACAUAUAAGUCGUGAACACCAAGGGUUAUUAUUGUGUAAAAGGUUGUGGGUUUUCAUGUAGUACAAUAUCGUAAAUAUCGGCGGGUGAGCGGAGCUCGUCUACUGCGCCGCCAUCUCGCUCGGCGUACCCACGUGACUCCUCUAAGUUAACAGUUUUAAACAUUUAUAUAUUACUGAAUAAAAAGAAUGAGUUAAAAAGCUAAUUGAUAUAAAUGGUUUCCUGCAGGUAACAUGGGAGCGGACCUGAAUGCCUCCCUGUGGCUCCACCCCUACACGAACGCCUCCUCCUGUCAGCCAAUCGGAGCAGCCUGUCCCUACAGCACCGCCCAGCUGGUGCUCAUCGCCAUGGCGACUGCCUCCCUGAGCGUCGUCACGGUGACCGGCAACACGCUGGUCAUCCUGUCCGUCAAAGUGAACCGGCGCCUGCGCACCGUGAACAACCACUUCCUGCUGAGCCUGGCGGCGGCGGACCUGGUUGUUGGGCUGCUGUCGGUGAACCUGUUCUCGCUGUACGUGCUGCACGGCAGCUGGACGCUCGGCGCCGCAGCCUGCGACCUGUUCCUGGUCCUGGAUCACACAGCAAGCAGCGCCUCCGUCCUCAACCUGCUGCUCAUCAGCCUGGACCGCUUCCUGUGCGUGACGCGGCCGCUCAGCUACCCGGCGCGCCGCACGGCCGGCGUGGCGCGGCUGAUGAUCGGUGCCGCUUGGCUGCUGGCCUUCAUGCUAUGGACGCCUGCGAUCCUGUGCUGGCAGAGCAGCAGCGGCCAGCGCCUGGUUCCUGAAGGAGAGUGUUUCACCCAGCUGAUCGCCAGCCCCGCCGCCACCCUGGCCACAACGCUGCCGUCCUUCUUCCUGCCAGCGCUCGUCAUGGUCGCCCUGUACAGCCGGCUGUCGGUGGCGAGCCGCGGCAGGCUGAGUGGCGGCAGGCUGAGCGGCGGCAGGCUGAGCGGCGUCCACCCGGAGACGUCCAGCCCCUCCGCCAAGGACUUCCUGUUGAAGCGGCGCAGCGAGGUGAGCGCAGAGCCCGCCUCCGACGCAUCUCUGAACCUAUCAGAGUCCAGCACGCCGAAGCCCGGGAGGAGCAGGAAGAUGUCCAGGAGUCUGCCGGACACUCGCAUUGCAGCUCGCCACAACGCAGACUCCAACAAGAUAGAGACUGACUCCUCGUCCAACGCAGACGUCCACCAGACGGCGGCAGCAGCGGUGUCCGCCUGCAGCAGCUUCCGGUCUCAGGAGCGGCGGCGGCAGCGAGCGACGGCGAGGGAGAGGAGGGUCACGAAGACCAUCCUCUCAAUCCUGCUGGCCUUCAUCGUCACCUGGACGCCGUACAACAUCAUGGCGGUGGUCGCCGCCUUCUGCCACGUGUGCGUGCCAGGUGUCUUCUGGACGGCGGGAUACUGGCUCUGCUACAUCAACAGCGCCGUCAACCCGGGCUGCUACGCCCUCUGCAACGUGACCUUCAGGAAAACCUUCCUCAGCCUGCUGCGCUGCCGCGGCAGGAGGCUGAGCUAAUCAUGCGGUUCGGACUGACGAUCAGAGAAUACCAGAGAGACCAGCGGACCUCCUUCAAUAUAUUCUGACACUUUAUAGAUGAAUGAUCACAGAGCUGCAGGGUGUGGUGUUUCUGUGCUGGUCCCUGAACUCAGCAUUUCCCUGGUCCAAUGGGAUUUCCGCAUGCGAUUUCGGCUAAGCUAAAGGCGGCUAAUGUUGGGCUAUAAAGGAACUACAGCACGGUCACAUGACUUCACGUCACCACCGCUAAGCUAAAGGAGGCUAAUGUUGGGCUAUAAAGGAACUACAGCACGGUCACAUGACUUCACGUCACCACCGCUAAGCUAAAGGCGGCUAAUGUUGGGCUAUAAAGGAACUACAGCACGGUCACAUGACUUCACGUCACCACCGCUAAGCUAAAGGAGGCUAAUGUUGGGCUAUAGAGGAACUACAGCACGGUCACAUGACUUCACGUCACCACCGCUAAGCUAAAGGCGGCUAAUGUUGGGCUAUAAAGGAACUACAGCACGGUCACAUGACUUCACGUCACCAGCGUGUCUUUCAGACUCUUUUUAGGACCCUAUAGGACUCGUGUUCCUCUGAUCUGUUGAAGAAGCUGAUAUCUUUUAUUCUUUGCACAGUUGUGUGUUGUGAUGAUUCAACAGGAGCGUGUGAUGAUCAGAGACGUUACCUUGCAGGAAUCCACUUUGAAAAGAGAUGUGGAGCGACGCUUUAAUCCUUCAAUUCUAUUCAGUUUGUCUGUGGUCAACACUCCUUCAUUUCUUAAGAUCCCCUUCCAGAGACCCACCUCUGGUCUUCUUGACUUUGGGGACGCAGGGUUUGGACACCGUGACGCUGGCCUCACACUCUGCGUUGAACAGCGCUCUCUUCAGAGUUCCUGAGCGGCUCUUCGUGUUCGUGUCGGCGCCGCAGGACCCCCAGGGGGCGAACUUAUACUUACAGUCACCUGCAGGGAAGACACCUUUAAUAUCAGGACGGAGUUCAGGUGUGUGUUCAUUAUGAACCAGACAGGAGGAGACGCCUGCAGAGAUUUGACCCGAUGACCUCACACACAUCGCACACCCUACUGUCGCUCAUCUGUCACUGACAGGAAAGACCGGCCGUCCCACUGCCCCCCCUCAGGCUGUCAGGGGAAAUGCAUUCUGUGAGACAGCAGGGGAAGAUCUCUCUCACCUUUGUGGUUCUUGUUCCUCCGGCUGGCCUCGCAGCUGAGAGUCAGCAGCAGCAGCAGCAGCAGUGUCACUGAGAGCAGACCUCGCAUC